rnacentral:misc_RNA from 1 species
CUGAGUUAGGGUCUUUCUGGCCCGACCUCCAACCCUUUGUUUACUAUACCAUGUUGCUUUGGCGGGCCUGCCUUUCGGGGCUGCCGGGGGCAUCACUGCCCUUGACCUGUGCCUGCCAGGAGCCUUCUUAAAUUCUGUGUUCAACUGUGUUGUCUGAGUCCCAAUAUCAAAAUAUAAA